UACGUAGGGUGCAAGCGUUGUCCGGAAUUAUUGGGCGUAAAGAGCUCGUAGGCGGUUCGUCGCGUCGGCUGUGAAAACCUGAGGCUCAACCUCAGGCCUGCAGUCGAUACGGGCGGACUUGAGUACUGCAGGGGAGACUGGAAUUCCUGGUGUAGCGGUGAAAUGCGCAGAUAUCAGGAGGAACACCGGUGGCGAAGGCGGGUCUCUGGGCAGUAACUGACACUGAGGAGCGAAAGCGUGGGGAGCGAACAGG
rnacentral:rRNA from 1 species